rnacentral:lncRNA from 10 species
CUGGUCUUGAACUCCUGGCCUCAAGUGAUCUGCUCACCUUAGCCUCCUAAAGAGCUGGGAUUACAGGGGUAAGCACCACACCCAGCUACUUUUCUCAGUUUUAAUAUCUAGUACAGUAAAUAUCAAUAGACAAAACCUACACAAGCAUGAGCUCUUGGGGCCUCAAUAUGAAGAAGUUAUGAGACUAAGACUCCUGGGUGCUGCUGUUCUGGACUAGAGUAACUUUCCUUCCAAAAGUGAGGCCUGUGAGCUUGAAUAUGGAUAACAGGGCUGCGGCACAUCAGCCACAGGGGUACCUCUGCAUAUGGGGCUUGAAAAUUCAUAGGUAUUUGCAUCCAGAUGCCUAGAGAAGCUUCAACUCCCAUCUCAUUUUUACAGCACUGCACUUGCUCCCUGGCCUUUUGCCUUCUUUGUUGUCACUACCUGCCUGAGCCUUUGCUGAACCUGAGCACUGGAGAGGGAGAAGUGCCUUUUGUUUUGAAGAAGCCCGGCCUGAGAGAGACAUGUCGAUGACUUUGUAAGAACAGGCUUUGGUUGGAUUUGGGGAGCCAUUCGAAGGACACCCUAUAGCAAUGUUGGAGAUGCUCACAGUCUGGCUCUCAGGACUGGGAAGACAUAAUGGAAUCACUGAAAUCUCCCAAGAUUGUGCAGGCCAGUUGCUUCCAGAAGAGUGGCUCUUUUCUUCCCUCUUGAAGCCUGGACUCUCGCUGGACCUGCAGUGAAGUUUAUGGUGGCAAGUUGAUUUCAAUACCUGAUUGAUUGAUAGCUGUUGCCUAGAAAGAAGGCUGUGUAGAAAAGGAUUUUGAGGUUGCACCUGGGCUCAGUGGGAAAGAAGGCUGCGGUUGAUUGGUAAGGUCAACUUCCAUUUUAUCAUUCAAACUGGGCCAGUUUUGAGAGUGAAAGGAACUGGAUUAAUCAUAUUGCCUGAAUAUCAAGUACAAUCUUGAACUGUCCUGGACAAACUAGGAUGUUUGACACCUCAUUAAGUAAUCAUGUGUGGUCAAGGUAUUGGGCUGGGGUGGUGGGCAGAGACCACAGUGAACAUGUCAGCUCUGUCUUAUUUCUGUGACUUCUAUGAGGACUUCUCUUCUCAUCCCAUUCUCAGGGGGACUGGUUCCAGCCUUUUAUUUCCUGAAAAAGUUGAGGGGAGGGGCCACAGAGCAGAGGUCAUUUGAUACGACCACAAUCCAGACCAUAACAUGUCUUUCCCACUUGUGCUUGCAAAUCCCCACUUCCCUCAUCUCCUGUGUGCAUAAGGUGAAUAGCUCAUUUCAUCAGCAUUACUACAAUCAUCUUUAACCACUCCCUCCCCACCAGCUUGAAGGUGGUUCAAAACCCCCUUUUGUGCUUAUUUGACAACCAUUUAUUCACUGGUGGAAUUCACUGCCAGACCCACAUCGAUUCUUGCUCUGACUAGUUCAACAGCCUCCUCGCUCCUAACUGCCUCCUCUCUUGCCUUCUCCAUUUCAUUAUGGUAUUUCCAAAAAUCUUAAUCUAACUGUACUAAUUCCUAAAAAUUGUCUUUGAUUUUUCACAUCUAAAACCAUUAGGCUCACAUUUCCAGCCUUCCAGGAUCACUUUCCAUUAUUUCCCCACACAGACCAUAUUCUGACUUUCCCAGAUUCUGAUUCCCCAUUUUCUGAAUGCAUACAUGAAACAAUUUUCAAGCCUCUAUACCAGUGUACUGUUCCUGCUGUAGUCUCUUCUCUCACCUCUUUUUCUGACUCAUUAAUGUCUAUCUACUUAACCCUUAAAAGCCCACAACUCCUAUUAAACCCUCCUCUUUCCCCAACCCCAAGCAGGACUAAUUUCUGCAUUUGCAUAGCAUGUUUUCACUUACGGUAUAGAUACUGGCUUGCAGCUUUAUUUCUCCUACUCAAAGGAGUUGUAUGUUGUUUAUUUCUAACAUGGUGCCUGGCACAGUAGCCACCUAAAUACUUUUUGAGAAUUGAAGAGAUGAAUGAUGCUAGACCCCCGUACAGAACUUCUUUCUUCUAAAAUGUUGAGGCCAUCAUGGAAUUGCUCUUAUGGCUUGGCUUCUAGGGACUGCUCUCACUAAAGGGACCAAGGAAGAUGAGGAGGAUGGUGCAAUGAGUGGAGUAGACCAGCUUUGCCUGCUGUCCUCUGUGGAUUCAAGGUAGAGGCCAGAGGGCAACAGCAGGGGCAAUGUGGUUGGGGAAUGGUGGAGAAGGGGUGUGCACGGCACACCUAACUUGCCAAGAAUGCUCUGCUCUCUGCAGAGAAGUAGAAAUUAGGGACCAGAGAGAGGAGAAUGAGCUGGAAAAACAGGCUUCUUUCUUUACCUUCAUGUACCUUGUACUUUACCUCAAGCUUUCUCUUCUGCCCAAAAGCUGUGAGUGACCUUCUUUGCCUGACCCUAGUAGCAUUCACUCCUGCCUCUCCCCUUCUUCUGUGGCACUGGCCUUGCCAUCUGGAUGGCUUGCUCUCCCUGACCUUCCCUUCUCAGCUCCUUCCUGGAACACCAAGCUUAGUAAUGUACCUCCCUUGUUUCCACCAGCAAUUUCCCCCACAGUAAUGUUGCAGAGGAGUGGGGUGGGGAUGGGAUUGGGGGAGGAGGGUCACCUGGACCUCAGCCUGAAAUAGCAAGUUCAAGGGCUCACAGCCCCUGUGAGCUGCCCCAGCCGCAUUCUGAAACCCACUUAAUCCCAGCUUCUUGCUGGGUGGAGGGGCUCUGCUGCAGCUUUGCCUGGCCUCACCAUUGACCCCUUGCUACGAAACUGUUUAUCUGCCUUUCUCCUCUUUGCCUCGGCACAUUUUGGCAGCCCAAUUAGUGCCUUGCAGAUAGUUUCUUGAGUCUGAGCAAUCCUCCUACCCAACCUUUCCCCUACCGACUUCCCUUUCCUGCCCUUGUAGGGAGAUGUUUGACAAGCUCUUUUCCAUUUCAUCUUCAAGCAGGCUGACACACUCAGAAGCUCUGCUGCUGGCUUCCAAAUGAAAAGCGGGUUAACGAAGGCAUAUUUUCCAGCUUGUUUUUAAAAGGGAAAACAAAAGAGAGAGAACAGGUAUCCUAGUUAAUGGUGCCUAAUUGCUUCUUUUCCAAAAAGUCUUCAGCGUAAAACAGCCUAAUUGAGAACUUUCUAAUCUUGUGCUGAAGAGGAAGCAGGGUGGCGCCUUGCACCUCGUAACUCCCACUCAUCCUUCAGACCCCGCUGGCUGCCAGCUCCUCACAGGAGCCUUCCCUCCCCCUUAGACGAAGUCAGGUGAUUAUACUGGACACUGUGCUGUGCAGCCUAGAACAUUCUGAAGGACAGAAGUGUUUAUUUUGCCAGCUGCUGCAAGGGUUGUCGGUAGACAGCCCUCACCUGUCAGCCCUCUUCAGGAGUUGUCCUCAUUGAAGGGCCAUCUUGUCCGAGGUCAUCCCUCUUUCCUGGGGCAGGUUGCAUCCAGUGAUUGGCCUAUGCAAAGACAUGAAAGCCUGGACCACUCAUUUCAGCUUGGCACAACUUUGAAAUGCCAUUCUGACUUGUGGUGGCAUCAGCUGAGGCUGUUAAUGAGACUACAUCUCAGCCCAACUUCUCCCUCUGCCCAUUCUAGCUUUCUUCCUUCACACUAAUCUCCAACUCAGGGUCUGCUCCCUGAGGACCCUGACCUGUAGCAGUAAUCCUCCUUGGCAUUGUCGUAUAUUCUUCCUAAUCCUCCUCAUCAGUGUGCAGUCAUAUGUUAGGUGCCCAAAAAGGUAUUUUAGGAGGUGCGUAAUGCAAUGAGGCCAUUUAUGUCUUUCAAUUUAGCGGAGAUAGAUGGAUUUGAUGUUUGCAGACUUCUCAUGCCCUAUUAAUUCCUACAAAAUGUGAUCUACCUAUCUAUGCACCUAUCUAUUGUCAUCUAUCUACCUAUCAUCUGUCUGUCUACCCAUACAUCCAUCUAUCCAUCAAUCCAUCCCUUCCUCCCUCCAUCCAUCAUACACCUAUCUGUAGUAGAAGCUGUAGGUGCUCCACCAAAACUCCCUUUACUGGCUGAUGACCCCAUGUCCCAGCUGCUGUAACUGUUGGUGCAUAACAAUUCACAGGUGCACCCUUUUCUGGAGUGCCAUCCUUGGCCAAAUGUAAGCUGCUUCCCCAUGGAGACUGUGCUCUCACCUCUCCUUCCCCAGUGGCAGACCUCAGCUGAUGACUGACUGGCAUGGGGUAAAAGGACAGUUCUCUUGCUUCAAG